rnacentral:rRNA from 1 species
ACGCGCGGAACCUUACCAGGUCUUGACAUCCUCUGAUAACUCUGGAGACAGAGCGUUCCCCUUCGGGGGACAGAGUGACAGGUGGUGCAUGGUUGUCGUCAGCUCGUGUCGUGAGAUGUUGGGUUAAGUCCCGCAACGAGCGCAACCCUUGUCCUUAGUUGCCAGCACUUAGUUGGGCACUCUAAGGAGACUGCCGGUGACAAACCGGAGGAAGGUGGGGAUGACGUCAAAUCAUCAUGCCCCUUAUGACCUGGGCUACACACGUGCUACAAUGGAUAGAACAAAGGGCAGCGAAGCCGCGAGGUCAAGCAAAUCCCAUAAAUCUAUUCUCAGUUCGGAUUGUAGGCUGCAACUCGCCUGCAUGAAGCUGGAAUCGCUAGUAAUCGCGGAUCAGCAUGCCGCGGUGAAUACGUUCCCGGGCCUUGCACACACCGCCCGU